AUUGAACGCUGGCGGCAUGCCUUACACAUGCAAGUCGAACGGCAGCGGACCUUCGGGUGCCGGCGAGUGGCGAACGGGUGAGUAAUAUAUCGGAACGUACCUUUCAGUGGGGGAUAACGUAGCGAAAGUUACGCUAAUACCGCAUAUUCUGUGAGCAGGAAAGCAGGGGAUCGCAAGACCUUGCGCUGAUUGAGCGGCCGAUAUCAGAUUAGCUAGUUGGUGAGGUAAAGGCUCACCAAGGCGACGAUCUGUAGCGGGUCUGAGAGGAUGAUCCGCCACACUGGAACUGAGACACGGUCCAGACUCCUACGGGAGGCAGCAGUGGGGAAUUUUGGACAAUGGGCGCAAGCCUGAUCCAGCCAUGCCGCGUGAGUGAAGAAGGCCUCGG
rnacentral:rRNA from 1 species